AUCACCAUUACUACUAUCAUCUCUCCCACUUGACCACAAUUGUCACAACUUUGCCAUUGCCACCUCUAUACCACUUGACCACUACCACUAUUAUUACCUCACAUUGUCACCGCUGCCACCACCACCACUAAAUGACCGUUGUUGUCAUCACCAUCACCAUUUAGCUACCACUAUCACUUAAUUAUCAAUUACUGCAAUCAUUACCAAUUAUCAUUAAUAUUAUAAAUAAAUUAAUAUUAAAAUCAAAAUUAAAGUAUUAAUUUAAAUAUAUUGAAG
rnacentral:misc_RNA from 1 species